rnacentral:rRNA from 1 species
GUGUCAGCCGCCGCGGUAAUACGGAGGGUGCAAGCGUUGUCCGGAUUUAUUGGGUUUAAAGGGUGCGCAGGUGGUUUAUUAAGUCAGUGGUGAAAGACGGUCGCUCAACGAUUGCAGUGCCAUUGAAACUAGUAGACUUGAGUAAAGUAGAGGUGGGCGGAAUUGAUAGUGUAGCGGUGAAAUGCAUAGAUAUUAUCAAGAACUCCAAUUGCGUAGGCAGCUCACUUGGCUUUUACUGACACUCAUGCACGAAAGUGUGGGUAUCAAACAGGAUUAGAUACCCUGGUAGUCCACACUGUAAACGAUGAUAACUAGGUGUCGGCCGAAUCUGGUCGGUGCCACAGCGAAAGCGUUAAGUUAUCCACCUGGGGAGUACGCCGGCAACGGUGAAACUCAAAUGAAUUGACGGGG